UACGGAGGGUGCGAGCGUUGUCCGGAAUCACUGGGCGUAAAGGGCGCGUAGGUGGCGCGGGCAGUCAACGGUGAAAAGUUUCGGGGGCUCAACCCUGAAUCGGCCCGUCGAUACUCCCCGGGCUUUGAGCACCUGUAGAGGCAGAUGGAAUUCCGGGUGUAGCGGUGGAAUGCGUAGAGAUCCGGAAGAACACCGGUGGCGAAGGCGGGUCUCUGG
rnacentral:rRNA from 1 species